rnacentral:rRNA from 1 species
CAAUGGGAGCUUGCUCCCUGAGGUUAGCGGCGGACGGGUGAGUAACACGUGGGUAACCUGCCUGUAAGAUUGGGAUAACUCCGGGAAACCGGAGCUAAUACCGGAUAACAUUUUGAACCGCAUGGUUCGAAAUUGAAAGAUGGUUUCGGCUAUCACUUACAGAUGGACCCGCGGCGCAUUAGCUAGUUGGUGAGGUAACGGCUCACCAAGGCGACGAUGCGUAGCCGACCUGAGAGGGUGAUCGGCCACACUGGGACUGAGACACGGCCCAGACUCCUACGGGAGGCAGCAGUAGGGAAUCUUCCGCAAUGGACGAAAGUCUGACGGAGCAACGCCGCGUGAACGAUGAAGGCCUUCGGGUCGUAAAGUUCUGUUGUUAGGGAAGAACAAGUACCAGAGUAACUGCUGGUACCUUGACGGUACCUAACCAGAAAGCCACGGCUAACUACGUGCCAGCAGCCGCGGUAAUACGUAGGUGGCAAGCGUUGUCCGGAAUUAUUGGGCGUAAAGCGCGCGCAGGCGGUUUCUUAAGUCUGAUGUGAAAGCCCACGGCUCAACCGUGGAGGGUCAUUGGAAACUGGGGAACUUGAGUGCAGAAGAGGAGAGUGGAAUUCCACGUGUAGCGGUGAAAUGCGUAGAG